AAGUCGUAACAAGGUUUCCGUAGGUGAACCUGCGGAAGGAUCAUUAACACGUUAUCCAACGUUAACCAAUGUCAAUCGUUUUAAAUCUCCCUUCACGGGAAUGAGCGGAAUUAGUAUUCGGAGUUCGUUGAAAGGGCCUGAUUCGUUAGGUGAACUCGUGCUAAGCAUAUUCUAAAUCGAAAGGUUUAGUUAUGACGCUGUAUCUGCAGUGAAGAUUAAAUCUCGCACAGGGCCCACCUUCCUGGGGAACUGUAAGAGAAACCUAUUAACUUAUUUCACCUUUUUGCUAGUUGACUUUUAUAUGUUGUUCUGUUCACCGUUUAUUCUGUGCAGUUCACACGUUUAAUUAUUUGAACGUUAAAAAUACAACUCUUAGCAAUGGAUAUCUUGGUUCUC
rnacentral:misc_RNA from 1 species